UGUCCAAGACGUUUGCGCAGACAAAAUUGUAACGCUCUGCGCAACUAUUAUGUACGGAGCACGGAGAACGGAAGACAAUCUCCUCUCCACCGCGUGCCAUGGCCACAGUGUCGAUUGCGGCGUAUUAUUCGCGACUUAACCAAGUGCACUCGUUACAAGUCCUCCCUCAUCGUACAAUGUAGAAUUAUUAAAAAUAUCCUACAUCCAUUAUUAUGCUCAUUUAAUUUUUAAUUUCGCACAAUAUCCUUCCAUAUUGUCCACUUAUCAAUUUAAGCUUCGGCUCAGCAGUACAUGGUACAUAAUUAAUACUAUUGCAAAAUUGCCAUAUGGUUUAAUUUAAUAUCAUGCUAAUUUGUCGUAUUUGACUUAACUUGUCGAAAAAAGAUACGUAAGUGUCUCGUGAUUAUCAGCCUUUUUUUUUAUCAGACUCUAACAAUUAGCAAGUAGUUGGAUCUCACCUUGCUAAUUUUCAAUUGUACGUAGGUGUCGAUUCGUCAUUAUCAUUACACAGCUCAUACUAGCUACAUAUCAAUCAUACAGAGAUGGAAGAAACCCAUUAGAUUAAUAUACAUGUAUUAUGUACAUACGUAUACUAUUUAUCUCUCUGGUUCGCUCGCUCGCUCCUAUUCGUCCUCGUAGCUAAUGCAUCAACACACACGCCUGCAGAGUAUUACGCAACGAGAGCCCGUGGUUGAGGAAGUAGAGCUCACACAAGUCUUGAUGAGCGAAAACAUAGAUCGCGACAUUAAUUUUUAGCUACGGUACGCUGAUAAAGAACCAAAGAAGUUAAGCUAAAACAUACAUACAUACAUGCAUAAAUUAUUUAAUAAAAAAAAAAAAAAAAAAAAAAGUUACCAUACAUUUUAAAUAAAAUUAAAGAGCAUGUUCCAUUACCUAGAGGACUAAAUGUUUUAGUUUUAGUUUUUUGAUUUACAACAAACACAUGUUUAAAUGUAUAUGUUUAUAUAUCCACCUAUAUAAGUGUUGGCUAGUGCAUUCAGUACAUACGUACAGUUGGUUGUGUACAUAUCCCCCUGAUUGGUGUGUAUGCGUUUGUACAGAGUGCUAUAUAUACAGCGUAGCUUGGCAACAAGCAGUCAGCCAGUUGCGGGGCAAGGUCGACCCUCUCCCCCCUGGCUAUUUUAUCCCGGCAUAUAUUUAUUACGAAACCGCGUACAUGUUUAUGUACAUGUAGACUACAUGCCUGUCCCUGUCUCUUGAUUUAAUCUCUUCUCUCUCUUUAUUUUUUUUCUGUACACUUCUCUCAAAGUGGCGGCUACGUCAUGGCCGCAUUCUGGACUUGACUACAAAUUUAAAUUAACAUUAUAAAUCAGAUACAUUGAAUAGAAGUUAACACAAUAUCGUAUUAUAUGAUCAUGUACAUACAAUUUAAUGUAAUGUAAUAAGUUGACGGAAGAUUCGUAAGAGCUUGACGCGAACCCGUCCUGUUCUGAUAUUAUAUGAUGUUGGAGCACCACAUCGAGCAGAACAACCGCAACUUUACUGUAUAGCAGUACAGUAUAAUAUGUAUAGCAUACAUCAUCCAGCUCUAUGCUAGUACUAGGCCCCGAGGGCUACACCACUAAAAGUGAUGAAGAGGAAGAGAAAACGAUUUUGCGAGAUGACCACAAGCAAAGAAAACUAAACGCAAGCAGUGUGACCACAUUCCAGAGACACUCCCACAGAGUAUGCUCUUAAAGUCUUAAGUAUAUCGGAUACUGUGCAAAAUAAUCGCAAGUUUAUUCUAAUUCGAAUAUAAUAAUUAGAAUAUCAAGCCGGUACCAACUUCUAUAAAUUUAUUAGUAUAGUUGUUUUUUUUUAUAAUUUAAUUUUUUUUAAUAUAAUUAUCAACCUGAAAAAAUUAAAGAUUGUUAAUUAAAUGAGAAUUUUAAUUAAUAAAAUAAUAUUUACAGUUAUUGGAGCGGCGAUCUAAGAUACCGUUCAAUAAUUUUUGUUUCUCAUUAAAUGUAUAUGUUAUAUUUAAUAUGAUAUAUUAUGUAUAUGUGUAUUUAAUAUAUAUUAUUUCACAAACAUAUAUAACGUUAAGUGUAUUUAAGUUAUCUAGUUACUUGUGGCGUAUCCAUUUUUGGCAUCGCCACAGAUUGCCGUUACGAUUUUUUGGGCGACUCACAUUACAAUUAAAUAAAUAAAUAUGAUGUUGAUAAUAUUAUUUAUAAAUAAUAAUAACAAAAUAUAAAUAACUGAACCACUGGCUUGUAAAAUAGUCGAGCAAUAAAAAAAACAAGUUUAUAAAAUAAAAAAAAAAAUUGAUAAAAAAUAAAUAACUCGGCUGGCAAUAUGGCAGCUGUAAGGCUCGGUAUUAGAAUUAUACCGUGUAAUCGAUUUUGAAAUAAUGAUAAAUUGUGGUAAAAUUAUUUUUUUCCUUCAAAUAAUUAUUGGGAUUAAUAUUUGAAUAUGAUGAAUAAAUAACUUGAAAUAAUGUCAUUUUUAGUGUAGUUUCCAAUUUUUGAGGCGCGCUAAGCGUACAUACUUAGGUUAUAUUUAUAUUUUUUUCACAUAAGAGGCACCUAGUGAAGAAUGUCGAGCUAAAUUAAUCGUUAGAUACUCAUUUUUUUAAAAAUAAUCACUCACCUAUGCUAAUGUAUCGAAGAUUGUUCACAAAAGAGAAAAUUUUCACUAUCACACAAUAAUUAAACUUUAAAAUACGCUGAAAAACACAUUUACGUUCUAACCAUGGAAUUUUAUUGUAAA
rnacentral:lncRNA from 1 species